CAUGAUGUCUGAAUAUGUUUUAGACCUUGGUCCUGUCACCUUAGGUCGAUCGGUACCUCAUAUUUAUAGUCAAAUAAAUUUGGCCCUUAAAUAUCAGUUCCUAAACUUGUCUAGGUCACACCCAACAAGGGUACUCCUGGGCCAUUAGCUCAGGUGGUUAGAGCGCACCCCUGAUAAGGGUGAGGUCCCUGGUUCAAGUCCAGGAUGGCCCAUUCGAUGUUGGGGGUAUAGCUCAGUUGGUAGAGCGCCUGCUUUGCAAGCAGGAUGUCAGCGGUUCGAGUCCGCUUACCUCCACUGAUCGACCUCCUGAUAGCAAGAAUCCUGGAGAAUUUUUGUUGGUUUGGUUUAGACUAAGUUCUGAAAGAAUGAAUGAACCUAGCUUCUUGUCAUCAUUUUCUUUGUUGAUAAGACGCUGGGCUCACUGCAAUUUUAAUUGCAGCGAUCUUCAGUAGAACCUUGACAACUGCAUAGAUGAGUUUGGAAAGAAUAAAGCAUCUCAUGGAUGCAUUAUCUUUAGUAAAUAGUAUUUGUUCUGAGUGAUCAAAAUAAAUACAAAAUUAUUAGAGAAUAAUGUGAAAUUCUUGAGCAAGAGCCGAGACUCUAGGCGA
rnacentral:tRNA from 1 species